CCUACGGGAGGCAGCAGUUGGGAAUCUUGCACAAUGGGGGAAACCCUGAUGCAGCGACGCCGCGUGGACGAUGAAGGCCUUAGGGUUGUAAAGUCCUUUUUUGGGGGAAAGACUUAGGACGGUACCCAAGAAUAAGCUCCGGCUAACUACGUGCCAGCAGCCGCGGUAAGACGUAGGGAGCAAGCGUUGUCCGGAUUUACUGGGCGUAAAGAGCGCGUAGGCGGCUCGUUAAAGUGUGAAGUGAAAUCUCCAGUGCUCAACACGGAAACUGCUUUACAUACUGGCGAGCUUGAGGAAAGCAGAGGCAACUGGAAUUCCUGGUGUAGCGGUGAAAUGCGUUGAUAUCAGGAGGAACACCCAUGGCGAAGGCAGGUUGCUGGGCUUUAUCUGACGCUGAGGCGCGAAAGCGUGGGUAGCAAACAGGAUUAGAUACCCUGGUAGUCCACGCCCUAAACGAUGGAUACUAGACGUAAGAGGUACUCGACCCCUCUUGUGUCGCAGCUACGACAUAAGUACUCCGUCCGUCGGGUACGGUACCGGUCCGGCCGACGGUUAGUAACGUUAAACGUUAAGUAAGUUAGUACGGACGUGAGACGUACGCCGACGGACGACCGACCGACGGGAGGUAGG
rnacentral:rRNA from 1 species